AUGGCCCUUCCCUGUGCCCUCGCCAUAAGGCAACCAUUCAAACCCAGAGCGCAUUUCCCCCAAAUAGCGGAAAGCCCCAGCGCUGGGGGGCGUUGUGGGCCCCCGGGCACCAAGACGCGCCCCCCCUCCCCGCUCCUCGUCAAAACGGGGCCCACAGUGGCUCGCGCCCAAGCUUUCCCACUUGUUUUUUCGCACGUGUUGGCUGACAGCAGGCCGGCCCCGGGAGGGCAGGGCGGGCUGCGGGGGCACAGGGCGACCCGGGGGCUCCCGCCGUCCGGGGCGCCCGGGGCCGAGCGCGUUCCCGGGGCGGCGCGCGAAGCCCGGGCAGGGCGGGCGGAGGCGCGGCGCGGCGCGGCGCGGCGGCUCUUUCAACAGGCGAUCUGUGCCCCUUCCGUGGCUCAUUUCCAUGCAAAGAGCCUGACAUCAGAGCACCUUUUGUUGCUAAACGCUUUCUUCAGCGGCGAGGGGAGAGUCCCGUGGAGCUGGCUGGAAGAGCUCAUUUCCGACGCAGGGGUCCCGAGCUGCGGCCGCCCGGGGCCGAGGCCCGGCGCUCAGCCCCGCGGGGCCCGGGCAGCCUCGCCGCAGCCUCGCCGCAGCCUCGCCGCCCGGGGAGGGCCGCGGGCCUCCGGCAGCCGGUCCCGGCCCCGGCGGAGGCGCCUCUGCGCGGCCGAGCGGCGCCCGGGCCUCCCGCCUUCCCCGCCGUGCAGCGCGGUGGUGCGGACUUUGCCUCCUGCUCCCCCGCGGCCCGGGGAGCCGGGCGGGGAAAGUUGGCGGAGUUGCCCGGCGCGCGGCCCGCCGCCCCGGGAGCCGAGGUGCAGGCGCCGGCGCGGGGCCCCCGCGGGGGCGGCCGGGGCGGCGGGGCGUGCGGCGCGGGGGCGCGGGGGCGCGGGGGCGCGGCCGGCUGACGCGGGCGCGGGCGCGGGCGCGGGCGCGGCGGGCGGGGACCGGCGGCGGGGGCGGCGGCGCGCGGGCGCGGAGCGAGGGCGCUCGGGGGCCCGGGACGCACGGCCGGCGCGCGCGCGGGACGCGGCCAUGGAGGACGCGGGAGCGGCCGGCCCGGGGCGCGAGCCCGAGCCCGAGCCCGAGCCCGAGCCCGAGCCCGACCCAGACCCCGACCCCGAGCCCGAGCCCGAGCCCGAGGGGCGCGCCGGCAUGUCCGAGGCGUUCUCCCGGCUCUGGACCGACGUGAUGGGCAUCCUGGUGAGUUACCUGGAGCCGGCGGGCGCGGGCGGGCGGGGCGGGGCGGGGCGCACCCCCAGGUGCGGGACGGCCCCCUCCGCGCCCGGCGAGCCCUCUGCUCCGGGUCGGCGGCCUCCCCCCAGGUCCCCGGGCUUGACGCACUCGGUCCAGGAUUUCAAACCCGAGUUAAAAACUAACCAGCCCCAGAUCACAUCCUCGAGGGCUCUGCAACCGUCGGGGACGGCAGCGGCCAGUUCACUCCGGGACACCUGCUGA
rnacentral:lncRNA from 1 species